CGUAGAAGAGAACGGCUAGCAGAGGCAGUAGAACCCAUAUCAGUGGGACCGGACAGAACUCCAAGGCCAUCAUUUUGCACAGGACACUCCGAUUAUCAGCGAUACACUGACUCAGAGACCUUCUUCUUGACACAAGCAAAUGCAAAAUGAGACCUCUAGUACGCUAUCUGGUGUUGCUUUCGGAAUGACCGCCAGGCCGAUCUAGUCCGUAUAUAAUAUGCAUGCCAGCUGGCAAACGGGCAAUAUGCAAAUAGAAAGCUGACAGAAUACGUUGCAUGCGAAAAAUCUUGUGCUGAACGAAUAGCCAAUAAGGUAAGGGCAUUAGAAUACAACGUCUGUGUUGUUCUGUGGUGGAAAAAUCAACCUACCGGUCGAUCUGUUGGGUUCAAACGUAAACAACAAUGACGUCACUCGACCUACAGGACGUUGCCCUUUAAGUCUGGGGUCACUGAAUGCAGCAGGAGAAAACACAAAUUCUGAUUGUCCAUCAUAAUUAGCAGAUUAACCAAUGACAACAUGGUAAUUUCCGGUUGGGCCAAUGAGGGUUGACUAGCUGUAUAUCAGCCAAGUCUUUGCAUUUAAAAGUUUUAUAUUUUGCAUGUCUACGUUUUUACGAAGGUGGCGGGGCUAUGUAUGGGAUCGUUCUAUAAUCCUCAUAUGGCAUAUGCAUGGAUAAAUAAUAAUGAAAUACAGCAGGAAUCAUAGAGAGGCGCAUAAGAUUUAUUGGAAUCAACACAAUUUACAUGUACGAGGAAAAAUAACUAUGAUACAGUAGUAACUCAAAUUUGUGUCAGUUUUCGAAUUCUAAGACAUAUAGUGUAAGCAAGGAGGUUAAACCUGAGCCUUGGUGUAAGUUUAAUAUGAUUUUCCAACGUUGUAGUCUGAAUAUUACAGAAAAGAAGGACAUUUUCUGGCAAAGGCAAAUGUAUUUUAAAGUCAUAGGUAAUCUUUUUCAGAGAGACUUGGCUGAGGAAUGACUUAUACGUAAUAAGUGACUUUUGAUGUGGUUCAAAACCUAGUCCUUUGGCCGCACAUGGGGCAAUUGCUGUCGCAUUGAGGUCACCUGAGUGGCACCGAAUGGCAACCGCUCCAGCCUCGCAUUUUGUAACCUCUUUACUAUUCAGCCCUUGGCAGCGAAGAGAGUGUAGUCGGUACAAAAAAAUGCACUCGCAAUGUCAUAUCAUAUGCAGAAGAAGAAAAAGAAACCCAUAUUAUACAAGGAAUGAUACCACGUGUUGAUAUAAUCUAUUACAGAAGAUAUGGGAAGUAGCUUGAUGUAUAGAUCUCAAUGUCAUCUAGAACAUUUCCUCCGAAUAUCUGCUCGGGGAUGUGCACACUUUUACUGUUUGAAGCAUUUCUCACAAGAACCGCUAGAGGGCGCUUCCAGCAGUUGAAAGACACAUAUGACGUCAUUCUUGUUUUGUUGGCAUGAAACAGGUGGUAAACUCCACGUGGAAGUAAUGACACUACAAAUUUAAAGGGUGACGUAAUCGCUAUGAAUACAAAUCGUGUGGUAUAUAAGGCACGGUUGUCAGUUCAUAAAACAGAACCUGGAACGUUAUUGACACAAACUGGGCUGUAUGCAGCAUGCAGUGGCAUAUAAAGGGCUUUCUACGCGUUGUCAAUUACCAUAUAUACAACAAUGGGACUGUACAUGGGAAAACUCAUCGCAAAAUUGUUCGGACAACAAGAAGUCAGGAUUCUCAUGUUAGGACUAGACUGUGCCGGCAAAACCACAAUCCUAUACAGACUUAUGAAAUCUGGACUGGGGGAGGUUAGAGACGGCACGGCAUGCGCACACAGUACAUCACUGGGCUUCAAUGUGGAGACGAUAGAACACAAGAACGUCAAGUUCACCUCU